ACCCUGGUUUCCCGAUAACCUUUUUCCGAUAAAAACAUAUCUUUCGACUCUUAAUACCCAUCUUUUAAUUGGUUCUCUGAAUCAAAAAUCCGACUCCAUAGUUGUGUCGGCCUCGUCAAGAUGGUCGAAACAGACUACUCAUACCCCGAAAUCGAACUGCGGAUGCAUCUUCCAUUGUUUAUUUUAUUUCAAUGGUUAUGAUUAUUUGGGAAUUUCGAAUUUAUCUUUUAAUUAAGGUAAAGAGGGUGAGCUGACCCUUAUCUCUAUCCUAGUCUUGAGCCUCAUCCACUCCAUCGUGAGCACUCCAUCAUCAUCCCCAAGCCAGACCCCCUCCCUCACCCGUGGUCUCCUCCUUUCCUCAUGGCUUUCCCUCCACCUCCCCCUUCCUGGCCUCUUCUCCCCUGAAUCUCCAACCUGUACCACGGCCCAGGCCUUCUCCAAGGGCAGCUGAUAGUAUCUUGAAGAGACAAGCGAGAGGAGAGAAGAAGAUCGAAGAAGAGGAGAAGAAAAGAAGAUCCUCAACCCUUACCUCUGUCCGAUUUCUUCUGGUCAAGCUCCAAGUCAGGUUGCAGCACCACCCCGCAGGAGGUAGCCUCACACCACCUCCCUCGCAACGGUUGAGGCGAGUACACCGGGCAAUCCAAGAUAUAUUCAUUUCUAUAAUAUGCCCAUGUUUAUAUGAUUCACUUAUAUUCAUGCAAUGGUGAACAUGACAUUUCCUAGUGUACAUUCCAAUGAACCAUACCACUAGUAUGAUAUAGGGAUUGGUUAUUCUUGGUUCUUAUUGAUACAAAAUCCAUCAUGGGCGUAUCUUCCCAACUCCAAGGAAUGAUCCUCGCUUUGCGAGCGUAUGGUCCUUCGUGUCCAUCCCCAUGCUAUGGUCCUCUCACUUGGUGAGAUGGAAAGGAGUUGUGGUGA